rnacentral:rRNA from 1 species
AACGAACGCUGGCGGCAGGCUUAACACAUGCAAGUCGAGCGCGGUCCUUCGGGGCUGAGCGGCGGACGGGUGAGUAACGCGUGGGAACGUGCCCUUCUCUCCGGAAUAGCCCCGGGAAACUGGGAGUAAUGCCGGAUACGCCCUUUGGCAGCGAUGCCUGGGGGGAAAGAUUUAUCGGGGAAGGAUCGGCCCGCGUCGGAUUAGGUAGUUGGUGGGGUAACGGCCCACCAAGCCGACGAUCCGUAGCUGGUUUGAGAGGAUGACCAGCCACACUGGGACUGAGACACGGCCCAGACUCCUACGGGAGGCAGCAGUGGGGAAUCUUGGACAAUGGGGGCAACCCUGAUCCAGCCAUGCCGCGUGAGCGAUGAAGGCCUUAGGGUUGUAAAGCUCUUUCAGCGGGGAAGAUAAUGACGGUACCCGCAGAAGAAGCCCCGGCUAACUCCGUGCCAGCCGCCGCGGUAACAC